rnacentral:misc_RNA from 1 species
CUGUUCGAGCGUCAUUACACCACUCAAGCCCGGCUUGGUAUUGGGCGGUAGGGCUACCCUACGCCUCAAUUUCACCGGCUGGACGACCCGAUUCUCAGCGUUGUGGCAUCAAAAUUCGCUGGCGAGGGGGGUGGUCUGGCCGUCAAAAUUUUCAUUCAAAGGUUGACCUCGGAUCAGGUAGGGAUACCCGCUGAACUUAA